UCCAUUAAAAUACGACAACCAAUAACCCCUACUAAGGUUUCAGAAGAAUUUAGGUUGUAUAUGCAUAAUGGAGAAACCAGUUAGAAGAACCAUGCAUCAAUGACAGUGCACCUCCAUUAUUAAUCACAUUUAAAGCAGUCGCCAACGUCAUCCGUAUACAAACAGUCAACCUGCUAUAGCGGAGGCUUAAACAUACAUUAUUAGGGUUUAAAUGUUAUAUGAUUAUAUCCUAAAUUUUACAUCACAAAUGGUAUAUUCUUAAGAUUUAUUAGAAAAAUAGAUAUCGCACAAAUUGAUCCAAUAAUCUAUUUUUAUUAAUUUCUUUUGUUCCCUUUUAUAAGAAAUGAACCGGAACUUUAUGUCACACUAAAUAAGAAUAUGCAUAUAUACACAUAAAAUAUUUAUUCAGAAAUAAUAACAUAUGAAUGUAAAUUUUUAUUUUAUAUUAAAACAUAUAUAUGUGGGAUUAUCUAAAAUUAUAUAUUUCAAAAAUCUCAGUUAAUUAAAUAUUGAAAACCUUUAAAUAAUUUUUUGUAUGAAUAUGAGGUUUUAUUCGGCAUGAUGAAACUAUUAGUAAUGGGUUUAUCACAUUCCAUAAAUACCUUUCUACAUUAAAAUUUGACUUAUGUAAACAAAGGAAAGUCGGGAAAGAAAAUGAAGUCGCUUGGGAAGAAAUAUUGUUAAACGAAGAAAAAAAAACUAGGAAAAAAUCAAAGAAAACCGACAUCAAACAUGUAUAAAUUUGUAGGGAUAAUUUGAAAAAUACCUUAUUUAGGAUUUGAAAUUUGAUAAUUGCAUUUUCUAUUUCAACUUUUGAAAAAUACACUUUCUUAAUUAUGAUUUGACCUUUUUACCCAAGAUAUAAUUCGAAAUUAAUAUACAAAUUCGAAAUUAAUAAAAUAAUAUCAUUAAAAUUAGAUAGAUAUGUGUAUUGAGAUAAAUAUGUUAUUUUACCUCCUGCUCUUGUAUUCACCAUGAAUUUCCAUGAUCCUUUAUUCAUCUUC
rnacentral:lncRNA from 1 species